rnacentral:pre_miRNA from 1 species
ACUCGAGCUGAUCGUAUAAGCCUGGAGUUUUUUAUCGUGUUUUGUGACACGAGAAAAGAUUUCUCCAACUUCUCUGGCAGUCUUUUUCUUUUUUUUCUCUCUUUUUUCUUCUCGCUUUACUCCAAACUAUAAGAUGAUUGCCAUCUUCCAAUUGAGAGAAGGGUGAGAGGAAGAAAGGGAGGGACGUCAGCAGUUGUUGCGGUCACAUUUUCGAUUCGGUUUGUUCGUUCGGCUUGAGUUA